rnacentral:lncRNA from 1 species
AGCCAGCAGCUGAACUGUGGUGGAGAAGCUCCUGAUCUAGACUGAGAGUCCUUUGUGGCUUCUGGAGCUGGGGGAGAAACUGAUAUAGACUUCCGGUUAAGAUGGCAGUUUAGAAGCAGCGAAAGUUCAGACCUUUGAAAUCCUUCCUUACCGAUCGCAAACUGAGUGCUCCUAGGACACCGAAAUUCAAGCUGAACAACAGGACAGACCCGGGAAACCCUUCUCCUGAACCUGGAUCAAAAGAGCUACUGGACUUAUUUUACAUUUCCUUCUACAGCUCCUGAAGAAAUUGAAGAAAGCAGGAUUCAGCAAUUCACCAAGAGUCAAACACAUUAAAAAUAUUUGAUGUAAAAUUUGAACUCAGGAAGAUGAGUUUUCCUGACUUCUGGCCCAGUGUUCUGUCUACUCUGCCACCCACCUGCCCAGAAAGAUACUUACAUUAUAAAAAAUAAGGG